AGGAAUAUUGGUCAAUGGGCGCUAGCCUGAACCAGCCAAGUAGCGUGAAGGAUGAAGGCUCUAUGGGUCGUAAACUUCUUUUAUAUAAGAAUAAAGUGCAGUAUGUAUACUGUUUUGUAUGUAUUAUAUGAAUAAGGAUCGGCUAACUCCGUGCCAGCAGCCGCGGUAAUACGGAGGAUCCGAGCGUUAUCCGGAUUUAUUGGGUUUAAAGGGAGCGUAGGUGGACUGGUAAGUCAGUUGUGAAAGUUUGCGGCUCAACCGUAAAAUUGCAGUUGAUACUGUCAGUCUUGAGUACAGUAGAGGUGGGCGGAAUUCGUGGUGUAGCGGUGAAAUGCUUAGAUAUCACGAAGAACUCCGAUUGCGAAGGCAGCUCACUGGACUGCAACUGACACUGAUGCUCGAAAGUGUGGGUAUCAAACAGGAUUAGAUACCCUGGUAGUCCACACAGUAAACGAUGAAUACUCGCUGUUUGCGAUAUACAGUAAGCGGCCAAGCGAAAGCAUUAAGUAUUUCACCUGGGGAGUACGCCGGCAACGGUGAAACUCAAAGGAAUUGACGGGGGCCCGCACAAGCGGAGGAACAUGUGGUUUAAUUCGAUGAUACGCGAGGAACCUUACCCGGGCUUAAAUUGCAGUGGAAUGAUGUGGAAACAUGUCAGUGAGCAAUCACCGCUGUGAAGGUGCUGCAUGGUUGUCGUCAGCUCGUGCCGUGAGGUGUCGGCUUAAGUGCCAUAACGAGCGCAACCCUUAUCUUUAGUUACUAACAGGUUAUGCUGGGGACUCUAGAGAGACUGCCGUCGUAAGAUGUGAGGAAGGUGGGGAUGACGUCAAAUCAGCACGGCCCUUACGUCCGGGGCUACACACGUGUUACAAUGGGGGGUACAGAAGGCAGCUAGCGGGUGACCGUAUGCUAAUCCCAAAAUCCUCUCUCAGUUCGGAUCGAAGUCUGCAACCCGACUUCGUGAAGCUGGAUUCGCUAGUAAUCGCGCAUCAGCCACGGCGCGGUGAAUACGUUCCCG
rnacentral:rRNA from 1 species